UAUGAUCACACUUCAGACCAGGAUUUGAAUCUCAGCUCCACCCCUUCCCAGCUACAAGAUGUAGGGCACGUCAUUAACUUCUCAGAGCCACAGUUUUACUCUCUCCAAAACUGGGUCAACAGUAUCUACCCCUGAAGUUACUGUGACUCUUAAGAUCAGAUGAAGAUCAACGGAAGUACCUCAUCCGCUGUUUAAAAGCAACUUCAGGCUGCCUCCUUGGCUGAUCCCUCCUGAGGCUCGCCCAGCUGCUUGGACCAAUGGCUCCAUUUGUUUUACUCAGAAGAGUUGAGCUGCGCACAAAAUUCACGCUGCUGGGCCCGAAGGCUACAGGUGGCCCUGGAAGAGAAUGUGUCUCUUUUUCCAAGGAAAAAGUCAAUCCAGUAAACCUGAACACCGCUACUUAUCCAUCCCUCCUUUCCAUGUCAUCAUUUUAUAAACACUCAGGCCCAGAGCAUGAGGUGCGGAGCCCCAAGGUUCCAGAAGGGCAUCUUGCACUGUGAACUCAGACUCCAGGAGGGAAGUCAGCUGCAGAAGCCUGGAAUGUGGGCGCUGUCCUUAAAGGACGAUCUAAAGUAAAUACUUAUAGAUUAGACAUAAGAAAUUA